rnacentral:lncRNA from 1 species
UUAUUGGAUUUCAUUCAAACUUUAGGCCAAAAAAUAACUAAAUAUUAAAUCCUAAAUAAAUCUUAAACAAACCUUAAUCAAAUUCUAACCAAAUCCUAAAUCCUAAAUCAAAUCUUAAAUCAACUCUUAAUCAAAUUCUAAUCUUAAAUCAAACCUUAAUCAAACCCUAAAUCCUAAAUCAAUCUCUAAUCAAAUUAUAAAUCUUAAAUCAAUUCCUAAUCAAAUCUUAAUCUUAAAUCAAAUCCUAACUAAAUCAUAAAGCUUAAAUCAACUCUUAAUCAAAUCCUAAUCCUAAUCUUAAAUCAAACCUUAAUCAAAUAUUAAAUCUUAAAUAAAAUUCUAAUCAAAUCCUAAACCCUAAAUCAAACUCUAAUAAAAUUCUAAAUCCUAAAUCAAAUCCUAACUAAAUCCUAAAUUCUAAAUCAAACUCUAAUAAAAUCCUAACUCUAAUCAAAUCCUAGCCAAAUUCUAAAUCCUAAACCAAAUCCUAACCAAAUCCUAAAUCCUAAAUGAAAUCCUAAUCAAAUCCUAACCAAAUCCUAAUCCUAAAUCAAAUCCUAACCAAAUCCUAAUCCUAAUAAAAUCCUAAUAAAAUCCUAAAUCCUAAACCAAACUCUAACUAAAUCUUAAACUCUAAACCAAAUCCUAACCAAUUCCAAAUAUUUCCUAUAACAGUUUUGAACUUCAAUAAUUAAUAAAUAAACCAUUGAUUUUAACUCAAAAUUUUCAUACUUCUUAACAAUUAAAUUAAUAAAAAUUACAAGAACAAAAAAAAAAAAUAGAAUUAUCAAAUAGAUGAUAACCUAAAAAGCAUGCUCAAGUAUUGGCUGGCCUCCUUUUCUAAUCUUAAUACUAAUCUCCUAGAGCCAAUAUCUCUCUUUUUUAUUAUUUGAUUGAUCUCAAAAUUCUUAUAUACAUAGU